CUCCUUUUCUUUUUGCGAAUACAGACUAACACGGCUGCUUCUCUGAAACCUUCAUUUUAAUGUAUAACAUACUGAAUUUAUUUGGGCACAUAACCUCAACGCUAAAUUGGUUAUUUCAGAAAGAUGUACUGUAAAUCUUGGACCUGCACAUCAUUCAUGCUUUUAUUUUUGGGUGGGAGGGGGAUUUUGUAUUAAAGAGAACAAAAGAUCACAUUCUCAGUGUUGCAGUAAAAGCUUUCUUUCAAAAAGAAAAUGGGCCACACAGGCCUAAUUUUCCAGAGUGGGGCAAAGGGAACAUAAGGGGCCUGAUUUACACUUAUACAGAGUUUGUCAUGGAAUUGCCCUUUUUGAAAGGUUCUUUCUUCCCAUGUGGAGUACGGCAUUCCUCCUUUCCCCCCAUACUAGAAAAUUUUACGUUACAAUGGAGUAUGUCAUGCUGUCUAGAGUGUCUCACAACCACAAUCAGGGAAGAUUGUCAAAAAUAGGGUAGACACCUCAAACUGGUGAUGUGGUUGAGAAUUAGAUUUCACCACGCCAGUGAUAUGAACUCCUGGAUCACUAUAACAGUCUUAGCAUGGAGUCAUAGACAAUCCCCUUAGACUCACUAGCCUACCUGGCCACCCAGACAAACUGGACUUAGUGAUAAACAGUUAUUUACACACAGAUCACAUCACAUUCAAGUUGCUUCCAGCCCCAAGGGACCAGUCACUUACCCCAGACCCUAGAUCUUACACCAAAGACAAUGCCUGUAGCCAAUUCUGUAAUAAACUAUCUAAAGGUUUAUUAACUAGGAAAAAGGAAUAAGUUAUUUAUAGGUUAAAAAAAAAGCAAACAUGCACGCACAAAUGAGUUACCAUCUGAAAUCUAAGAAUGACAGAAUUGUAGUGAUCUGUCAAUUCCAAGUGUCUUUCAGGGCCGACCCAAGAGACAACCCUUAGGGGUGUCUGGCUCUUCACAUGGAAAAUUUUCCUGUGGCUUUGUUUUAUUUCCUUCAUUCUGCUUCCAAGCCCAAAGGAAAAGCUUUCUUGCACAUAGCAUUCCCCAGGUGUGAUAGGGCCAUUAAGCAAUCCUUUUGUAUUGUGUUGAUCCUUGAUGGCCCACCUGAUUUUGAUAGCCCUUCUGGAUGGAUGGGGGAGUGGGAUGAGUCUCAUGCCUGAGUUCACAAGUUCAGAACGGACAUUUUCAAAGUUAUAAAGCAGUAUGUCCAUAUUUCCUUAAAGCAUGGAAUACAGAAAUUACAAGUGAGAUUAAUGCAUGCAGCAACUUACAAGCAUUCCACAGAGUCUAAAGACUAAAUACAUUUUUAAAGACUAAUACCUAUUUUGAGCAAAACUAACAUAUAGGUGACCUGGUCUGGUCUCUAGCUAUAAGACUGUCAGCUCUUAGCUAAUGCCUGCAGCCUGGGAAAGAGCUGGCAUCUAGCUGGCCAGUGUCAGACAUGGGCUGAAAACCAG